AACGCAGGACGCAAGCGUUAUCCGGAGUUACUGGGCGUAAAGGGCGGGCAGGCGGUCUGCGCAAGUGGGGUGUGAAAUCUCCCAGCUUAACUGGGAGAGGCCAUUCCAGACUGCCAGACUGGAGGGCAGUAGAGGUAGGCGGAAUUCCGGGUGGAGUGGUGAAAUGCGCAGAUAUCGGGAGGAACACCAAUGGCGAAGGCAGCUCGCUGGGACGGUACUGACGCUGAGACGCGAAAGCGUGGGGAGCAACAGGG
rnacentral:rRNA from 1 species